GGGAAUGUAGCUAAGUUGUAGAGUGCUUGCCUGGCAUGCAUGAAGCCCUGGGUAUGAUCCCCAGCACUGCAU
rnacentral:tRNA from 1 species